rnacentral:rRNA from 1 species
ACAAGGAUUCCCCUAGUAGCGGCGAGCGAAGCGGGAAGAGCUCAAAUUUAUAAUCUGGCACCUUCGGUGUCCGAGUUGUAAUCUCUAGAAAUGUUUUCCGCGUUGGACCGCACACAAGUCUGUUGGAAUACAGCGGCAUAGUGGUGAGACCCCCGUAUAUGGUGCGGACGCCCAGCGCUUUGUGAUACAUUUUCGAAGAGUCGAGUUGUUUGGGAAUGCAGCUCAAAUUGGGUGGUAAAUUCCAUCUAAAGCUAAAUAUUGGCGAGAGACCGAUAGCGAACAAGUACCGUGAGGGAAAGAUGAAAAGCACUUUGGAAAGAGAGUUAACAGUACGUGAAAUUGUUGGAAGGGAAACGCUUGAAGUCAGACUUGCUUGCCGAGCAAUCGGUUUGCAGGCCAGCAUCAGUUUUCCGGGAUGGAUAAUGGUAGAGAGAAGGUAGCAGUUUCGGCUGUGUUAUAGCUCUCUGCUGGAUACAUCUUGGGGGACUGAGGAACGCAGUGUGCCUUUGGCGGGGGUUUCGACCUCUUCACACUUAGGAUGCUGGUGGAAUGGCUUUAAACGACCCGUCUUGAAACACGGACC